rnacentral:rRNA from 1 species
GAAUUAUCGGUGUCGGAUGGGCAUGCGUUCCAUUAGCUAGUUGGUGAGGUAACGGCUCACCAAGGCCACGAUGGAUAGGGGUUCUGAGAGGAAGGUCCCCCCACAUUGGUACUGAGACACGGACCAAACUCCUACGGGAGGCAGCAGUGAGGAAUAUUGGUCAAUGGGCGAAAGCCUGAACCAGCCAAGUCGCGUGAAGGAUGACGGUCCUAUGGAUUUGUAAACUUCUUUUGUCGGGGAGUAAAGGCAGUUACGUGUAACUGUUUGCAAGUACCCGAAGAAAAAGCAUCGGCUAACUCCGUG